rnacentral:lncRNA from 12 species
UGCUGAUCCCAGUGGGAUCAAGGAUUCGGCACCCACGGGGGUUCGGCACCCACGGGGGGGGGAGUGGGAAGGGAAAUGCUCCCCACAUUCCCUGCUGGGGGUCACACCAGUUUUGGGGGUUCCUUUGGGAUUCACUGUGCAGCUCCAGUGCUGAGCCCUCCCAGUUCCACCCCACUGUUGGCUCCAUAAGGAUUUUGGGAGGGGACCCUGCCAUGGCCGUACUCUGCACAUCCGCAUCCCACAUUUGCCCAAAAUCGCACCGUUUGUCCUCAAAACACCUCCCCAGCCCUGUCCCAGCUGCCCCAGAGCAGGGCAGGAAUGGGGAGAUUCCCCCUGGGGCAGGAGGCAGGGGCAGCCAGUGCCUUUCCCACUUUUUAUUGCAACAGCAGCUGCAGAAAUGACAAAAAAAUCCAGGGAGAGCCAGAGCAGAGCUGCCUGAUCCCCCCCAGGCGCUGGGGAUUCCCUGAGAGCUGGAGUUCCACAGGGAUUUGGGGAUCCCUCAGGGAAAUGGGCGGGGGGGGGGCUCGGAGAGUCGGGACCCUCAGGGAGCUGAGCAUGCCCAGGGAUUUGGGGUUUCCCAGGAGCUGAGGAGCCCCUGGAAACAGGAGAGGCAGGGAGCUGAGAAUUCCCAAGGAUUUGGAGGAUCCUUAGGAGCAGGUGUGCCUUUGGGGGGGCUGCAGACCUCACAAGAAGCUGAACAUCCCUGGGGAGGUCCAGGAGCUGGAGACCCCACAGGGAGUUGAACAGCCCCAGGAAUUUGGGAAUCUCCAGAAGUUGGGAAGCCCCUGGGGACUGGAAACCCCAAAGGGAACAUCACACCCCUGGGAAUUUGGGAACUGAGCAUCUUAGGGGAUUUGGGGAUCCCUAGAAGACAGAGAUCAUAGAGGAGCUGAGCAUUGCUGGGGAUUUGGAGAUGGCCACAGCACCAGUGGGGAUUUGGGGAUCCCUUGGGGAGCAGGGGGAAAUGCUGAUCCCAGGGAUCUGAGCAUCACCAGGAGUUAAGGACCCACACCAAGGAGCUCAGCACCCCCUGGUGCCGAGUUCUGGGGAUCCCUGAGGUUUUGGGGAUCCCUGCAGUGGAUCCAGGAGCAGCUGGGAAGCAGCAGCAGGGCAGCAGGGCAGGAGGAUCCCCCAUUAUUCCACCUCCACAGGGAUGGGGUUCACCUGCCCCCCCACCUCCGGCUGCUUCUUGCGGGCGUCGGGGGGGGGCCCCCCCCCCCCCCCCCCCCCCCCCCCCCCCCCCCCCCCCCCCCCCCCCCCCCCCCCCCCCCCCCCCCCCCCC